GUGAAGAAGAACCAUACUAAGAAUAGAAACCAGUAAUUUUUGAACUGAAGUACUCAACUUAGAAGACACUUAAGGAGGAAGGAAAAGAUUUGGAAUAGACUUUCUGGUGAGAGAGCAGAUCUGUCAGGAAGAUAUAAAAGGAUUGAUUGCCUUCUCUAGGCUCAGGUGUGUAUGGAGGAAGAGGAAGGGAUAUUUCUUUUCUCCCUGCUUUUCCUCAACAGUGGCAUCUUAUAGAAGAGGAACUUGCCCAGGGAAACUCUUUGCCAAGUCAAAAGUGGACUUAGAGAGUCUGGCAAUAAAGUUCAAUACAUGAUGCUGCAUUUCAACCAACUGAAAUUUUCCAUCAUUCUCCAGUGUCUGCGGUGGUCUAUUAAUAUCAGUUGCUGUGAUAGAAAAGACAGGUGGCUGGAUCUAUGGGGUCAUGGGUAGCUUGCUCUCAGCAGGAGAUAAAUUACAUGCUUAGGAAAGGACAACCAUAGUGUUUGUCCUCGGCAACAGAGGAAAACUCUUGUCAG
rnacentral:lncRNA from 1 species